AACGCAGCGAAGGGCGAUAUGUAAUGUGAAUUGCAGACUUUAGUGAAUCAUCGAAUCUUUGAACGCACAUUGCGCCCCGUGGUAUUCCGCGGGGCAUACCUGUUCGAGCGUCAUUACAACCUCUCCAGCUCUGCUGGGUCUUGGGGCUUGCCUUCCUGGCAUCCCUUAAAACUAGAUGCGGCGCCGCGUGGCUCUAAGCGUAGUACUUUUCUCGCUUCUGGGUCCGCUGUGGUGCCUGCUACAUAACCCCAACUUUCUAUGGUUGACCUCGAAUCAGGUAGGGAUACCCGCUGAACUUAA
rnacentral:rRNA from 1 species